rnacentral:lncRNA from 1 species
ACCAAAUAUAUUACAAACUGUAAGACAUUACUUGAGAAAAAGUAAAAUUCAAUAGUUGCUUAUCUUCUUGAAAAUGUAUAAUAAUGAUUUUUUGUUGAUAAUCAAAAAAUUAGGAGGUUUCAUUUUUUCCUAAUCUAAAAUUAGGAAGUUUCUAGAUAAUAAAUCACUAUCAUAAUCUAAUUUUGAUAAUCAAUUAAUAACUGAAUCUUUCAUAGCCUUCAAAUCCACAAUUUUUCUUCUAAAAUACUUUUUUUUCUUUAGGUUUG